GACGAACGCUGGCGGCGUGCUUAACACAUGCAAGUCGAACGGAAAGGCCCUGCUUUUGUGGGGUGCUCGAGUGGCGAACGGGUGAGUAACACGUGAGUAACCUGCCCUUGACUUUGGGAUAACUUCAGGAAACUGGGGCUAAUACCGGAUAGGAGCUCCUGCUGCAUGGUGGGGGUUGGAAAGUUUCGGCGGUGGGGGAUGGACUCGCGGCUUAUCAGCUUGUUGGUGGGGUAGUGGCUUACCAAGGUUUUGACGGGUAGCCGGCAUGAGAGGGUGACCGGCCACAUUGGGACUGAGAUACGGCCCAGACUCCUACGGGAGGCAGCAGUGGGGAAUAUUGCACAAUGGGCGGAAGCCUGAUGCAGCAACGCCGCGUGCGGGAUGACGGCCUUCGGGUUGUAAACCGCUUUCGCCUGUGACGAGGCGUGAGUGACGGUAAUGGGUAAAGAAGCACCGGCUAACUACGUG
rnacentral:rRNA from 1 species